rnacentral:rRNA from 1 species
UACGUAGGGUGCGAGCGUUAAUCGGAAUUACUGGGCGUAAAGCGUGCGCAGGCGGUUCUCCAAGUCCGUUGUGAAAGCCCCGGGCUCAACCUGGGAAUGGCAGUGGAAACUAGGGGACUGGAAUCUGGCAGAGGGGGGUGGAAUGCCGCGUGUAGCAGUGAAAUGCGUAGAGAUGCGGAGGAACACCGAUGGCGAAGGCAGCCCCCUGGGCUAACACUGACGCUCAGGCACGAAAGCGUGGGGAGCAAACAGG